rnacentral:rRNA from 1 species
ACACACGCUACAAUGGAAGGGACAAUAGGUUGCGAAGCCGCGAGGCGGAGCCAAUCCAGCAAAACUUCCCUCAGUUCAGAUUGCAGGCUGCAACUCGCCUGCAUGAAGUCGGAGUUGCUAGUAAACGCAGGUCAGCCAUACUGCGUUGAAUACGUUCCCGGGCUU